UGAGGAAUAUUGCACAAUGGGGGAAACCCUGAUGCAGCAACGCCGCGUGGAUGAUGAAGGCCUUCGGGUUGUAAAAUCCUUUUCUGGGGAACGAUGAUGACGGUACCCCAGGAAUAAGUCCCGGCUAACUACGUGCCAGCAGCCGCGGUAAAACGUAGGGGGCGAGCGUUAUCCGGAUUUACUGGGCGUAAAGCGCACGUAGGCGGCAUCGUAAGUUGGGCGUUAAAGCUCCUGGCUUAACUGGGAGAGGUCGUUCAAUACUGUCGGGCUAGAGGACGGCAGAGGGAGGUGGAAUUCCCGGUGUAGUGGUGAAAUGCGUAGAUAUCGGGAGGAACACCAGUGGCGAAGGCGGCCUUCUGGGCCGAACCUGACGCUCAGACGCGAAAGCUAGGGGAGCGAACGGGAUUAGAAACCCCGGUAGUCCUAGCCGUAAACGAUGUAGACUGGGUGUCGGCGGGGUAAAAGCCGUCGGUGCCGAAGCAAACGCGAUAAGUCUACCGCCUGGGGACUACGGCCGCAAGGUUA
rnacentral:rRNA from 1 species